AUGGUCCAGGCGCUGCACAAACACGCAGUUGUUCUGACCCAGUCCGGUCCUGAAGUGAAGAAGCCCGGAGAAUCCACCCAGCUGAAAUGCGCCGUGAGCGGGUUUGUUCCUAAUGACUGGUGGAUGGAUUGGGUCAGACAGCUGCCGGGAAAGGGACUGGAGUGGCUGGUUCACUAUCGACAAUCUUCAGUCACGAAUUACUACUCCUCCUCCAUCCAGGGGCGAUUCACAGCCUCCAAGGACAGCGCCAACUUCUACCUGCAAAUGACAGGCCUGAAACCCGAGGACACCGCCAUGUAUUACUGCGCGAGACACACAAGGCGCCAGCAGAAGGUCAUCUCCAGCUACCGAGCCCCACCUAAGCCUCCU